AACGAACGCUGGCGGCAUGCCUAACACAUGCAAGUCGAACGAGACCUUCGGGUCUAGUGGCGCACGGGUGCGUAACGCGUGGGAACCUGCCCUUAGGUUCGGAAUAACUCCCCGAAAGGGGUGCUAAUACCGGAUAAUGUCUUCGGACCAAAGAUUUAUCGCCUUUGGAUGGGCCCGCGUUGGAUUAGCUAGUUGGUAGGGUAAAAGCCUACCAAGGCGACGAUCCAUAGCUGGUCUGAGAGGAUGAUCAGCCACACUGGGACUGAGACACGGCCCAGACUCCUACGGGAGGAAGCAGUGGGGAAUAUUGGACAAUGGGCGAAAGCCUGACCCAGCAAUGCCGGGUGAGGGAUGAAGGCCUUAGGGUUGUAAAGCUUUUUUACCCGGGAUGAUAAUGACAGUACCGGGAAAAAAAGCCCCGGCAAACUCCGU
rnacentral:rRNA from 1 species